GACAGAGGGGGCAAGCGUUGCUCGGAAUUACUGGGCGUAAAGGGCGCGUAGGCGGUAUGGCAAGUCGGUCGUGAAAUCCUUCGGCUCAACCGAGGAACGUCGAUCGAAACUGCCGUUCUUGAGGAUUGCGGAGGAGACUGGAAUUCCCGGUGUAGCGGUGAAAUGUGUAGAGAUCGGGAGGAACACCGGUGGCGAAGGCGGGUCUCUGGGCAAUUCCUGACGCUGAGGCGCGAAAGCGUGGGGAGCAAACGGG
rnacentral:rRNA from 1 species